UUUCGUCUGCUAGUUAAUGAAUGUGCAAAACCACGCGAGUGACACUUCUCUUUUUGUUACCUCUGAACAUAAUUCUACUCUGUGUGUGUUCUAACUUCUGUCAAUCAGUUUUAUAUUGAUUUGGCCUGUCUAUCAGUCUAUGCCUGAUCUGUCCAGUGAGUGUUUGGUUAUCCAACUCAUUUGAUAACGAACGAAAAACCCCAAUUUUUACUAUACCCCCGAGAGGCGAGGGGCCUCCUAUACUAGCGAACCUGGCGGGGAAUCUUGGGACCCUUUACUGAACACCCGCCGUUUCUUCCAAGAGACUGGGAUAGCACGAGAAUGUACCUUUCCUAUUAUAUCGUGGGCUACCAAUGAGUGAAAGUGACAUUCUAGCAUGCCCAUUGGUAUAUAUCACUUAGACAAAAAAGUGUCACAAUGAGGCCAUCUACCAGGGACUAAAUUCAAACAUUGAGUUGAACAAUCCAUCAAACAUAUUAAACCAAUUAGAAAGAAAUACUUACUGAAAUAUCAAUAGCAAUUAGUGAAAUAUAACAUGCCAAUUGCUACAUCACUUGUUAGAGUUUUAGACAAGUGUCACGAUCAAGUAAAAAUGUAGGUAAAAUGCAAUAGCCGUCGCUAGAUGGGGUUUUUAGCACUGACAGGGCAAUAGCCCUCUAUGGCUAUUGCCCUGUCGAACCGGCAUGGCAAUAGGUCUGACCCGCUUGCACUGACUAAAAAGGUCGGGCAAGAAAGUGCAGUUUUCGAGUGACCUCGGACGGUGCCGGAGUGCCACUGGAACGUACAAAUUCGAUGCACCGAAAAAGUGGAUUGCACUAAGAUUACCACUCGAACAACUUUUUCUCGGGGCAAUUGCACCAGUGCA